rnacentral:rRNA from 1 species
UGCGCCUACGGGACGCAGCAGUAGGGAAUAUUGCUCAAUGGGGGAAACCCUGAAGCAGCAACGCCGCGUGGAGGAUGAAGGUUUUCGGAUUGUAAACUCCUUCUGUUAGAGAAGAUAAUGACGGUAUCUAACGAAUAAGCACCGGCUAACUCCGUGCCAGCAGCCGCGGUAAUACGGAGGGUGCAAGCGUUACUCGGAGUCACUGGGCGUAAAGAGCGCGUAGGCGGGAUAGCAAGUCAGAUGUGAAAUCGUAUGGUUUA